rnacentral:rRNA from 1 species
GAUGAACGCUGGCGGCGUGCCUAAUACAUGCAAGUCGAGCGAACAGACGAGGAGCUUGCUCCUUCGACGUUAGCGGCAGACGGGUGAGUAACACGUAGGUAACCUACCUAUAAGACUGGGAUAACUUCGGGAAACCGGAGCUAAUACCGGAUCAUAUUUCGAACCGCAUGGUUCGAUAGUGAAAGAUGGCUUUGCUAUCACUUAUAGAUGGACCUGCGCCGUAUUAGCUAGUUGGUAAGGUAACGGCUUACCAAGGCAACGAUACGUAGCCGACCUGAGAGGGUGAUCGGCCACACUGGAACUGAGACACGGUCCAGACUCCUACGGGAGGCAGCAGUAGGGAAUCUUCCGCAAUGGGCGAAAGCCUGACGGAGCAACGCCGCGUGAGUGAUGAAGGUCUUCGGAUCGUAAAACUCUGUUAUUAGGGAAGAACAAACGUGUAAGUAACUGUGCACGUCUUGACGGUACCUAAUCAGAAAGCCACGGCUAACUACGUG